AGCAGCCGCGGUAAUUCCAGCUCCAAUAGCGUAUAUUAAAGUUGCUGCAGUUAAAAAGCUCGUAGUUGAAUUUCGGGACCAUCAUGUCGGUCGUGCCUCGGUACGUACUGGCAUUGUUGGUUUCUCCCUUCUGACGAACCAUGAUGUCAUUUAUUUGGUGUUGUGGGAAAUCAGGACUGUUACUUUGAAAAAAUUAGAGUGUUUAAAGCAGGCUCACGCUUGAAUACAUUAGCAUGGAAUAAUGAAAUAGGACGUUUGAUUCUAUUUUGUUGGUUUCUAGGAUCGACGUAAUGAUUAAUAGGGAUAGUUGGGGGCAUUAGUAUUCAAUUGUCAGAGGUGAAAUUCUUGGAUUUAUUGAAGACUAACUACUGCGAAAGCAUUUGCCAAGGAUGUUUUCAUUAAUCAAGAACGAAAGUUAGGGGAUCGAAGACGAUCAGAUACCGUCGUAGUCUUAACCAUAAACUAUGCCGACUAGGGAUCGGAUGAUGUUAAUUUUUUAAUGACUCAUUCGGCGCCUUACG
rnacentral:misc_RNA from 1 species